GAGGACGCUCACCACUUUGUGGUUCAUGACUGGGGUGAAGUCGUAACAAGGUAGCGCUAGGGGAACCUGGCGCUGGAUCACCUCCUUAUACGAUGAU
rnacentral:rRNA from 1 species